CUAAAUGUACCUGAGGCUUGAGAUGGGCACUGCCCUGGGUGCUCCUGUCCACCAUGCAGUGGGACCUCACACCUCCGGUGCAGAGAGGGUGGUGGGUUCUCAGAGCUCACAUUAUGACGACUGCACCCCUGCCUGAUGGCUACAUCAAGUUCAGCCCCAGCUGUCACCCAGCCCUAGCAGGGAGGCAUCCAGCCAGGACUAGCAAAAGGCAGAGAAACAUUCAGCAGAAGUUGGAAGUAUCACAUUUCCAGCUUCAGCAUCUUUUGAUUCGAGGAGGAAAGAACAGCUUACAUGUGUCAGGUUUCUGCCUGUUUGCUCAGAUAUCACCAGACCUGUACUUUGGCUUGCCCAUCACAGAGUGCAUUGUGUUUGAUGCCAGGAAGGGAGGGGACAGCCUGCAGACAGAGGUGUGCUCAGGUUCUCUGACCCCACUGCGCAUCCCUGGAGGAUGAAAUCUCCUUUCAAAGACUCUUAUCCACUGGCUUGUUGUCCAUUGGACUCUGAAUCAUUCUCAUAUCCAGCCAGGAGACUUCAGC
ensembl:lncRNA